GCUUACUCAUCGGGGAGCCACCCAGUACUGAUCAUAUUGUUGAACUGGACGCUGAGACCUAAAUGCAACUUAGUAUGCAAUCGGGGACCCGUAUUACCUGAACCAGAUAAUGCUGGCGUAGGAAUUGAGUCUGGAUAUUAU
rnacentral:ncRNA from 1 species